rnacentral:rRNA from 1 species
GGGGAAUUUUGGACAAUGGGGGCAACCCUGAUCCAGCCAUGCCGCGUGAGUGAAGAAGGCCUUCGGGUUGUAAACCUCUGUCAGAAGGGAAGAAACCGCACCGUGCUAAUCAGCGGUGCCUUGACGGUACCUUCAAAGGAAGCACCGGCUAACUACGUGCCAGCAGCCGCGGUAAUACGUAGGGUGCGAGCGUUAAUCGGAAUUACUGGGCGUAAAGCGUGCGCAGGCGGUUUUGUAAGACAGGCGUGAAAUCCCCGGGCUCAACCUGGGAACGGCGCUGGUGACUGCAAGACUAGAGUACGGCAGAGGGGGGUGGAAUUCCACGUGUAGCAGUGAAAUGCGUAGAGAUGUGGAGGAACACCAAUGGCGAAGGCAGCCCCCUGGGUCGAUACUGACGCUCAUGCACGAAAGCGUGGGGAGCAAACA